AAUGGGCGCAAGCCUGAUCCAGCAAUGCCGCGUGGGUGAAGACGGCCUGCGGGUUGUAAAGCCCUUUAGGCGGGGAGGAACGACGGGAUGUUAAUAGCGUUUCGAAGUGACGUUACCCGCAGAAUAAGCACCGGCUAACUCCGUGCCAGCAGCCGCGGUAAUACGGAGGGUGCGAGCGUUAAUCGGAAUUACUGGGCGUAAAGCGUGCGUAGGCGGUGGGGUCAGGCAGCCGUGACAGCCCUGGGCUUAACCUGGGAACGGCGGUUGAGACGGCCCGACUGGAGUGGGCGAGAGGAUCGUGGAAUUCCGGGUGUAGCGGUGAAAUGCGUAGAGAUCCGAAGGAACACCGAUGGCGGAGGCAGCGGUCUGGGGCCACACUAACGCUGAGGCACGACGGCGUGGGGAGCAAA
rnacentral:rRNA from 1 species